UCGUCGUCGUCGAUGUUGUUGUGUCGCUGUCUCCAAUAAUGGUCUUACACUCUUGCUACUUAAAAGAGAGGAAUAGACAAAGUAAUUGAGGAAAAUGUGUACUGAAGGAGAUGAUAACUCAACAUGAGAUACAAAAAUGAGCAAGACGUGAAGUGAAUUGAAAUAUCGCAACGCAGAGUGUUUUUUAGGUAAAGUACAGAACUCUACCAUAACAUUAGGCGGAUUCAGAAGGAAAAGAAGUUCGAUUGGUUUGCCUCGAGAUGACAAUUGAGUGCUGAAUCAAAGAAGUUCC
rnacentral:lncRNA from 1 species